rnacentral:rRNA from 1 species
AUGGGUGGUGGUUUAUCGCUCAUUCAGCUGACGGUGUACCAUAUAACUGGAAUUAACCCAUGCAAGUCGAAGAAGGAUUGGCCGGUGCUGCCGGCUGGCGUCAAGUUCGAUCCCACGGAUCAGGAGCUGAUCGAGCACCUUGAGGCCAAAGUGAGUGCUGACAGCGUGAGAUCUCACCCUCUCAUCGAUUUGUUCAUACCAAUCAUCGACAGCGAGCACGGCAUAUGCUACACCCAUCCUGAGAAACUUCCAGGUAUCACACUAAGUGGCCUAAGCAAGCAUUUCUUCCAGCGCAAUUCCAGGGCGUUCAAAAGGGGCAUGUGGAUGCGUCGCAAGAUACAGUCGGAGUGCGGCAUGCACGCGAUGUGGCACAACACCGGCAAUACCUUGCCGGUGAUGGUCAACGACCGGCAGACGGGCAGCAAAAAGGUUCUAGUGCUGCACACCAACAAGAACUUCGACCAGCAUAGGACCAACUGGGUGAUGCACCAGUACCACCUCGGGGACCUGGAGCAAGAGAAGGAGCGGGAGCUGGUCCUCUGCAAGAUUUUCUACCAGACGAACACUAGGGCCAGGAGUAAAAAUGUUAUAAGUUAG